CUAGGAAGUAGGAAAAGUAGGAGAUCAGAGACUCAAGAAUUGAAAGGAGCCCCAGAGACGUAAAAUUCAAACUUCUCAUCUCAGAGGAGCCCAGGCUAGCAAGCUUUGCCUGUUCUGGACAUUUCACAUAAACAGAAUCACACAGUGUGGGCUCUUGUGACUGCCUUCUCUCAGGAGCCAGCAGCUUCCACAUGGGAGCUCACAUCUCAAUGAAAACAAGAAAUCUGAUGCCUCACUGACAACUCAUUUUCUCAACCUUCAUUCUGGGGAAAGGCGACUUUGUGUUCCAGCUGCCAUAUUGUAGCUGCAACCCCUGAUGCACUAUCAAUUAAAAACAGCAAUAAUUAUGCAUGGG
rnacentral:lncRNA from 1 species